rnacentral:rRNA from 1 species
UACAGAGGUCUCAAGCGUUUGUUCGGAUUCAUUGGGCGUAAAGGGUGCGUAGGUGGCGCCAUAAGUCAGGUGUGAAAUCUCGGGGCUCAACCCCGAAACUGCAUUUGAUACUGUGGUGCUCGAGUACUGGAGAGGAGAUUGGAAUUUACGGUGUAGCAGUGAAAUGCGUAGAUAUCGUAAGGAAGACCAGUGGCGAAGGCGAAUCUCUGGACAGUUACUGACACUGAGGCACGAAGGCCAGG